rnacentral:rRNA from 1 species
AACGAACGCUCGCGGCAGGCCUAACACAUGCAAGUCGAACGCCGUAGCAAUACGGAGUGGCAGACGGGUGAGUAACGCGUGGGAAGCUUCCCUAUGGUUCGGAAUAGCUCAGGGAAACCUGGGGUAAUACCGGAUAAGCCCUUCGGGGGAAAGAUUUAUCGCCAUUGGAUGGGCCCGCGUCGGAUUAGCUAGUUGGUGAGGUAACGGCUCACCAAGGCGACGAUCCGCAGCUGGUCUGAGAGGAUGAUCAGCCACACUGGGACUGAGACACGGCCCAGACUCCUACGUGAGGCAGCAGUGGGGAAUAUUGGACAAUGGGCGAAAGCCUGAUCCAGCCAUGCCGCGUGAGUGACGAAGGCCUUAGGGUUGUAAAGCUCUUUUGGCGGGGAAGAUAAUGACGGUACCCGCAGAAUAAGCUCCGGCUAACUUCGUGCCAGCCGCCGCAGUAA